GUGCUUGCUUUGGCAGCAUGUAUCCUAAAAUUGGAGUGAUACAGAGAUUAGCAUGGCCCCGCACAAGGAUGACAUGCAAAUUCGUAAAGUGUUCUAUAUUUUU